rnacentral:rRNA from 1 species
GACGAACGCUGGCGGCGCGCCUCAUCCAUGCAAGUCGAGCGAGAACCAGGGCUUGCCCUGGGGAGAGCGGCGAACGGGUGCGUAUCACGUGAGCAACCUGCCUCAGAGACCGGGAUAACCCGAGGAAACUCGAGCUAAUACCGGAUGCCCUCGGUGGAUCGCAUGGUCCGGCGAGGAAAUGGAUGCCGCUCUGAGAUGGGCUCGAGGACUAUCAGCUUGUUGGUGGGGUAACGGCCUACCAAGGCGACGACGGGUAGCUGGUCUGAGAGGACGAUCAGCCACAGUGUGACAGGGACACGGCCCAGACUCCUUCGGGGGGGAGCAGUAGGGAAUCUUGCGGAAGGGGCGAAAGCCUGACGCAGCGACGCCGCGUGCGGGAUGAAGGCCUUCGGGUCGUAAACCGCUUUCAGCAGGGACGAAAUUGACGGUACCUGCAGAAGAAGGCCCGGCCAACUACGUGCCAGCAGCCGCAGUAAUAC